ACCAGGCCCAGAGGUCACCAAAACCACCCACCAAAACUGAAAGCAGCCGUUGGACAAACAGCAAAGCCUGAACACUGGACUGGGAAUUGCAAGCUGACAUUUUAUUCUUCUUCGCUCAAAAAUAAAUCAAAUCUGCAAUUCACAAGUUAACACCUUGGGAAGCUAAUUAGGCAGAGCCCAAGCUGAGGGUUUUUGGUUCUGUCUCCCAAGAUAAGCUGUUUAAUGAGACCAUUUGUUUUCAAUACAAAUAAAUGAGGAUUCGUCCCCCUUCAAUCAAGGAGCAACUAAGCCUCCAGGUCCCAUUGGGCUCUUUUUGCUUAAACCCUUCAGUACAACUGAUCUUGGUAAAGUUCAGAAUACAAACUAACCCAUUCUUUUGGAAGGUAUACUGGGAUUUUUCAGUUUAUUUUUCAACUGUUCUCCACACCCCACGUUCCCCUACCCAUUCAAGCCGUUCAAUUUCAAAUUACAGAAUUUGACUAGCUUCAGUUUAGGUCUAUCUACUCCAUUUCCCCAAAUGGCCGGAGGGGUAAACCUGUCGGGUAUGGAACUUUUCCCAAUCUCUCUCCUCCCUUGCAAAACCCAGCCUCCGACAGUUGGAGAAGCUCUGUUCCCUUUAGGACUGUUUAGCAAGCCAAACUAUUUCAGAGCCUUUUCUGGUAGAUUAGAAUGAAGGAGCCCCUCCCGUAAGUGUUUGAAAAAGAACAAACCAAAAUCUCAUCAACUCAUUCAAUUUAAACUGCCGCAGAACCCAUCACUCAACUGAGGCGAGUCUGUGUGGUUUUUGCAAAGUCACUAUACCACCUCGCUUCUCCGCCCGGCCCCGGAGAACACCUCUGCCAUUCAGAGUUCCACUUCCCCAGAAAGCCACGGGGCAACACCUCAGAGACCGAGAGAAAAGCUCCUAACUCUUCCAUCAGAACGCUCCUCUUCGUUCAAGUGGAAAGAAAUCCUUUCUUCUUCGGAAACCCCAGCCUCCUUGAGUCGCGGCCGGUGCCCUGCACCAGAGGUCCCGUGUUGGUCCCCACGACCGGCCCUGCCGCCGGAGCUGUUAACAUUUCCGUGAAAUCUGAGCCCUCGUGUCUAGCUUUCAUCUGACUUCAAGUUCCAGGUCCAGAGAUCAAAUCCAGGACCUGACUCCACCACUGAACACACUCUACACCUCUGAAUCCUGGAGAAAGACAGCUACCUCUCGUGAACACUGAGUGACAACAGCCACAGCCUUGCCGUCAGAACCUGGCUGAGUGUGGCUCAGAGGCACAGAUAUCAGACUGCCUGAUAAAGAUGAAGACGUGGAGCCUGCCCCGAGUGCACACAGCUGCACUGGAGAGGAGGCGGGACGUUCGCCCAGGACUUUCUGACUUCAAAAUCCAAGAGAAGAGUAAUUAUGCCGUGGGGAGGGAGGUGUAAUAAACCCAGUUUUGCCUGAUAAAUGGGUUUUGCUUUGGAAUGAAGCCAAUGGAAUUAAGGCCUAUGAAGGCAUUAAAACUGCUUUCGGUUAUUAUUCUGCAAGACGGAAUUCUGCAGUUGUCCUGCAAGUGUGCUUGGCACAGUGAUUGUCACCAAGAGAUGUCCACGGCCAAACCCCUGCAACCCAUGGUUACAUCUGCCCCACACGGGAAGGGACCCGGCAGAGGCGACUGAGGAUUUGAGGUGGGGAGAUGACUGUGGGGUAUCCCGAGGGCCCAGCGUCAUCACAGGGUCCUUACAGGAUCAAGGCAGGAGGCCAGAGUCAGGAAGAGAUGCGGCAGUGGGAGCAGAGAUUGCUGAUGGCUUUGAAGACUGAAAAGCACAAGCUAAGGAGCGCACUAGACUAGGAGUCAGAAAAGGCAAAAUGCUGCAUUCUUCCCUAAAGCCUCCUCAGGAGUGCAGGCCUCUUUGUCUUUUUGCUGGGUGGAGGGAGCCCAGGGCCUCCAAAUGCCAAGCACAUGCUCUACCAUGGAGCCGUGGAGCCCGGUGCACAUUUGAGACUCACGCUCUGCAGACCCAUCAGAGUAUAAGUCUGUGUCGUCUUAUGUUGCGGUGUCUGCACGGUCUGUUAAGGAGAGAGAGGAGACGGAGGCACCAAACACUGAAGCAACUGUCUGUGUGGCUGCAGCCGACAGGACCAUGAGGCCCCGCUCUGCAUCCCUCCCCUGCUACUCCCAGGCUGGCUGGGGUCAGAGCGCGUUAAUGAAAUGACUCUGUGCUUCGUCUUUCAAUUACAUGGUGAGGCUGAGGGGAAGUGACACAGAAAGGGCCCGGGUCAGAAGCGGAGGGGCCUGGAAGCUCCCUGCUCCCCGCUCAUCCUGUUAGAAUCCAAGACACAGGCACUGUGCUGACGAGAUCGACCUCAGCCAGAGCAGCAGUGUGUCACUGGGCAUAUAACUCACCUGGUGUGCACACGCAGGUGUGCGAGCGUGUGUUUGUGUGUGUGUGUUUAAAGCUGGGGAAUGAAACAAGGCCUCACACAACUACCAACCAACACUUCGUUUCUCAACUCACACAGCCCAUCAUGUGUCCUACAGACAUUGAAAGAUGUGUUGCAGCUGCAGUUAGGGGCCGGGGACGCAUGCUCUGCGUGAGCGCAAAGUGAGGUACAGAAGGCCAGGCCGCAGCAGAAAAGACCUGGAGACAGGUUGCUUCCCUGCCCCCGCCCCUGUCUGCCCCUCCCCUCCGCUCCCCUCCCACUCCCCCUGCUUCCUCUUCUACUUUGCUCCAGAUUGCAUAAAACACUUGGGAGCCGGAGAAGGGCAGGAGCGAUGUUCCAGAUAGCAACAAGAGCAGACAGAAAGUUCAUGGGGGUUGGAGAGAGGGGAGAGAGCCACGCAGGGAGUUCGAAACCAGGACUCCAGAGACCUCCCAGAAGAAGGAGACUGUGAAAAAAAAAAAGUCCUCAGGACAAGAAAAUUCUCUCACAAGACAGACUCCCCCAGUCCCCAGCACACACGUGGGGAGCCCAAGGCACUGGGACAGGCACUAAGGAGGCCGGAUGCCAGGGGAGCCCUGCCUACCUGGUCCCUCUCUCCUGAGAAGAGGCCACAGGUGCCCCCCCCCACAUGCCUCGGGGUGUGCACCCCAGGAGUCUGGGAGAUCCCAGAGGCCAAGGCUGUGGGUCAGACCCUGCCCUCCCUCGGGUCCCCUCUGAGGCCUUGGGGCACCCCAAGUGUGCCUGCUGAGUGGGUGCAGUGGCUGGGACGGAUGCAUCACCCAGAGGGCUCCCCGGAGGCCGGCCGCACCCCCUCUUAUGGGGCAGGGCCCCUCUGGAGCUGGGGACAACAUGCCCUGUCCAUGAAGCCAGUCCCAGGCUGGGCAUUCGCACCCCAAAUGGCUCUUGCUCCCUUUUGGAGCUCUGAACCCUCGUUUGGGCCUGGGCCUGCGUGGGCCUGGGGGAGAGGCUGUGCAUUGUCUCGGGCAUGGCUAACCCUGGAAAACUCACGAUACUAUUUUGAGCCUUCUGAAAGCGAGAUCUUUCUGAAGACAGCUACAUAAUAUGAUCCUAAUGCAAAAGCACAACAAAAUAUUCCACCGGCAGAGGAAUGACCACCUAAAUAGAUAGGUGGGUUGGGUAAAUGAUAAAAGCUGCCAUUUCCCUAUCAGUGAAAGAAGUGGUUAUGCAAUAAAUCACAUGGAAUCCCUUUUGGAAAAAUAAAACCUACCUACAACUGACCUUUGAAACUGUUAGAAUGAAAAUGCUCUUGAGCCUUAAGUCCACCCCGGCCUGGCCGCAUGGCCCAGGGCUCAGCCCCUGUAGGAAUGACAGAGGCAAGGGGCCCACACUGUGCUGCCCCCCGACAGGAUCCUUUCUUCUUCCUGUGCAGAAUGAGUCCAUUUGCCCCAGCUGGCUGUCUUUCAAAACUGGAGAAUCACGAUUUCCAAGUGAUGCACAUCAGAACCCGCAGGGAGAUUGCCACACGAGGCUCCGUAGGAUCCACCCACCGCGGAUUUGGGAUUCGGUCUUGGGUGGGGCUGGGGAAUGUGGUGGAAGUGAUGCUGUGAGGCCUUUGGGAACUGGGUUUUGUAGGAUUCAGGGUCUUCAGAACUAGGCACAGUGCCUGGCAUAGGCAUCAUCAGUGGAAGCAAAGGCAAGGGUGGGGGACCACAUCUGUAAUCCCUGUGCUCUGGGAGGCUGAGGCAGGAGGACUGCAAGCUUGAGUUUCUCAUGGGCAAUUUAGUGACUUAAU